UCCAGGCGUUGUCCACGAUGGUCAGCCUGGACAACCGGAAGUGGACUACCAGGACAAUCUACAGCUCCACGCCCACUGGGAAGGAUUCUUUGACAGAGAGAGUGCAAUUGUCUUUUACCAGUACACUUUCGGACCAAGAUGUUUACAGGGACACGUGUUUGACCUCAACAAAACUCAAAACAUGGAAUCAACACGCACUACGGAAGCCACAUGGACAGCACCGUCUUGUGGAAAGUUUUACAUAACUGUGGUCGCCUAUAAUGGAGCUCAACAGAGAAGCGAUGCCGUUUGUUCAGAUGGAGUGGAGACGUGCAAGCCCUCCCCUGUCUUCAAUACCUGUUCCUGGCGAAGUGACAGCACCAGAUGUUAUCCAGGAACCUGCAAGGAGA